UACGUAGGGGGCAAGCGUUGUCCGGAAUCAUUGGGCGUAAAGAGCGUGUAGGCGGCCCGAUAAGUCCGCUGUGAAAGUCCAGGGCUCAACCCUGGAAUGCCAGUGGAAACUGUCGGGCUGGAGUCCGGAAGAGGCGAGUGGAAUUCCUGGUGUAGCGGUGAAAUGCGCAGAUAUCGGGAGGAACACCAAUUGCGAAGGCAGCUCGCUGGGACGGUACUGACGCUGAGGCGCGAAAGCGUGGGGAGCGAUCCGG
rnacentral:rRNA from 1 species